rnacentral:rRNA from 1 species
UACGUAGGGGGCAAGCGUUGUCCGGAAUUAUUGGGCGUAAAGAGCGCGUAGGCGGUCCGAUAAGUCGGCUGUGAAAGUCCAGGGCUCAACCCUGGAAAGCCGGCCGAUACUGUCGGACUAGAGUCCGGAAGAGGCAAGUGGAAUUCCCGGUGUAGCGGUGAAAUGCGCAGAUAUCUGGAGGAACACCGGUGGCGAAGGCGGCAUCCUGGACCGAGAUCGACGCUGAGGCGCGAAAGCUAGGGGAGCAAACGGG